GAGAAGAUUGCUGAGCGGUCAAAAGCAACAGACUGUAAAUCUGUCGAUAUUAUCUUCGUAGGUUCGAAUCCUACUCUUCUCA
rnacentral:tRNA from 1 species